AACGAACGCUGGCGGCAUGCCUAACACAUGCAAGUCGAACGAGACCUUCGGGCCUAGUGGCGCACGGGUGCGUAACGCGUGGGAACCUGCCCUUAGGUUCGGAAUAACUCUCCGAAAGGGGUGCUAAUACCGGAUAAUGUCUUCGGACCAAAGAUUUAUCGCCUUUGGAUGGGGCCGCGUUGGAUUAGCUAGUGGGUAGGGUAAAAGCCUACCAAGGCGACGAUCCAUCGCUGGACUGAGAGGAUGCUCAGCCAGACUGGGACUGAGACAAGGCCCAGACUCCUACGGGAGGCAGCAAUGGGGAAUAUAGGACAAUGGGCGAGAGCCUGAUCCAGCGAUGGCGCGUGAGUGAUGAAGGCGUUAGGGUUGUAAAGCUCUUUUACCCGGGAUGAUAAUGACGGUACCGGGAGAAUAAGCACCGGCUAACUCCGUG
rnacentral:rRNA from 1 species